CCUACGGGAGGCAGCAGUGAGGAAUAUUGGUCAAUGGACGAGAGUCUGAACCAGCCAAGUAGCGUGAAGGAUGACUGCCCGAUGGGGUGUAAACUGCUUUUAUAUGGGAAUAAAAUGUUCCACGUGUGGGAUUUUGUAUGUACCAUAUGAAUAAGGAUCGGCUAACUCCGUGCCAGCAGCCGCGGUAAUACGGAGGAUCCGAGCGUUAUCCGGAUUUAUUGGGUUUAAAGGGAGCGUAGGGGGAUUGUUAAGUCAGUUGUGAAAGUUUGCGGCUCAACCGUAAAAUUGCAGUUGAAACUUGCAGUCUUGAGUACAGUAGCGGUUGGCGGUCUUCGUGUUGUAGCGG
rnacentral:rRNA from 1 species